GACGAACGCUGGCGGCGUGCUUAACACAUGCAAGUCGAACGGAAAGGCCCUGCUUGCAGGGUACUCGAGUGGCGAACGGGUGAGUAACACGUGGGUGAUCUGCCCUGCACUUCGGGAUAAGCCUGGGAAACUGGGUCUAAUACCGGAUAGGAGCCAUUUUUAGUGUGAUGGUUGGAAAGUUUUUUCGGUGUAGGAUGAGCGCGCGGCCUAUCAGCUUGUUGGUGGGGUAAUGGCCUACCAAGGCGGCGACGGGUAGCCGGCCUGAGAGGGUGGACGGCCACAUUGGGACUGAGAUACGGCCCAGACUCCUACGGGAGGCAGCAGUGGGGAAUAUUGCACAAUGGGCGCAAGCCUGAUGCAGCGACGCCGCGUGGGGGAUGACGGCCUUCGGGUUGUAAACUCCUUUCGCUAGGGACGAAGCUUUUUGUGACGGUACCUAGAUAAGAAGCACCGGCUAACUACGUG
rnacentral:rRNA from 1 species